CUGGCACACCAUCCGGGGGCCCUCCAGCCGCUCGCAGAGAGCCCCCUCCUUAGUCACCUUGACAUUGCUCACCUGCCUGGGCCUCCGCUCUGGUCCAAGGAAACUUUUUCCUCCUUCCCAGGAAGGAGCUCAGUUACAGCAAUCAUGGAAGUGCACCUUAAGAAGGAGGCGGCAAAGAACUGAAGGAUCCCGGAAUGCUAAAUUAUUACCCUGCGCAACUGCCCAGGAGAGUCCCGGGACCUACAACAGAAUCUGCAUAAGCAAGAAAUAAACUGGUGUUGGGUUAAGCCGCUAAAAUACUGGAGUGGCUGUUGCCCAUCACUGCGUAGCCUACCUCAUGUACACAGGAUUCCCCCUUAUCUGAGGUGGUGCUUUGUGGUUCCAGUUUCCCAUGGCCAAUGACAACCAGAAAAUGUUAAAUGGAAAAAUUCUAGAAAUAAACAACAAGCUUUAAAUUAA